GGGGCCCGCCCCUCUGGUGGCUUCAACUACCUCCCGGAGCUGGGAAGGAAUGCAUUUCCUAGUACUGUUGGGACCAGAAAUUGAGCGUCCCCUGGGAACUUUUUAAUAAUGCAACUCCUUGGGCCCUCCCAGACCUCCUGAGUGGGGAACGGGGCCCAGGACUACGUUUUAACACGCAUUCUGGGCGAUUGUGAUGCGUGUGAAUAUUGGGUAGAUGGCACAUCCACAAGAGUCAAUCCCCAAAGUGGAACUUGAGUUUGUCUUCGGAUAAUUAGAGAAGUCCUGGCAGUCCAAAGUCCAAGGCUGGACUGAGUUCCUGUCUCCGGACCUCCCGGGCCACUCUGGGGUCUUAACCUGUAGACUGAAAAUGGACUCCCAGCCUCUUCAGGAUGCUGCGGAAUCUGUUUGCUGGUCGCCAGCACUGAAGCUCACCUCUACUUGCUGGAUGUUGGCGGCUGGUGGUUCUCAGCUCCUGGGGGCCAUCCCGUUGUGGCCCACUCCAUCACCACAGCCAGCAGGAGCGUAUUGAACCUUCCUGCUAUGACAGUGGAAACCAGGGUUAGGCCCCUUUUCCUCUUGGAAUCACAGAACCAAUAAAGGAGACCAGCCCAGAUGGAGCA